GGACCGACAGGGGUAGUUCACUUAGUAAAGGGCUCAUGGUACAAGCUACGAGCGAGUUUAGUCCUGAGCACCCAUGUAAAGAGCCAGGGACAGUCACAUACAUUGUCAUCUCAGUGCAGGGGAGGCGACACAGGAGGAUCUUUGAGGUUUACUGGCCGGUCAGCCUAAUCGUUAGUGUCCUGUUAUGUUGCCUAAGCUUGUCUGUAAUUCAAGUGAUCGUCUUGCCUCGGCUUGUCAAGUAGCUAUGACUACAGGCUCCUCCCACCACUUGACUCAGAGGAUAUACGUGUUUACGGGGAAACGCUAGCAACCACAGGAUAAUUUGCCUUAUGACUGGCAUCAGCCUCUUCCAUUGAACUGCAAGUUACAACAGAACACGGAGCGCUGUGUACUUCCUGGGAAUUUGCCUGCAUAGCCUCAAAGUGACUAAUCCUGGACAUUUGAGAAAUAUCUACUGAGUGUCAUUUUAAGUAGAGGUGUUUACACGUUUCUCUGUUCUGUCAAUUCUACCUUACUCAAGUGUAAGGUAAUGCCUUACACUUAUACCACAGACACCAAACCCAAAGCCUUCUCUUGGUCCUUCGUUGGACACACGCUUGUUCAUAGCAAGGAAGGGUACCAGUGCUCAAGAACAUGCCUCUCUCCUGUCGCCAGU
rnacentral:lncRNA from 1 species